GAUGAACGCUGGCGGCGUGCCUAAUACAUGCAAGUCGAGCGAACAGACGAGGAGCUUGCUCCUCUGACGUUAGCGGCGGACGGGUGAGUAACACGUGGAUAACCUACCUAUAAGACUGGGAUAACUUCGGGAAACCGGAGCUAAUACCGGAUAAUAUAUUGAACCGCAUGGUUCAAUAGUGAAAGACGGUUUUGCUGUCACUUAUAGAUGGAUCCGCGCCGCAUUAGCUAGUUGGUAAGGUAACGGCUUACCAAGGCGACGAUGCGUAGCCGACCUGAGAGGGUGAUCGGCCACACUGGAACUGAGACACGGUCCAGACUCCUACGGGAGGCAGCAGUAGGGAAUCUUCCGCAAUGGGCGAAAGCCUGACGGAGCAACGCCGCGUGAGUGAUGAAGGUCUUCGGAUCGUAAAACUCUGUUAUUAGGGAAGAACAAAUGUGUAAGUAACUAUGCACGUCUUGACGGUACCUAAUCAGAAAGCCACGGCUAACUACGUGC
rnacentral:rRNA from 1 species